rnacentral:rRNA from 1 species
UAAUACGAAGGGUGCAAGCGUUACUCGGAAUUACUGGGCGUAAAGCGUGCGUAGGUGGUUCGUUAAGUCUGUCGUGAAAGCCCCGGGCUCAACCUGGGAAUGGCGAUGGAUACUGGCGAGCUAGAGUGCGGUAGAGGAGAGUGGAAUUCCCCGGUGUAGCAGUGAAAUGCGUAGAGAUCGGGAGGAACAUCAGUUGCGAAGGCGGCUCUCUGGACCAGCACUGACACUGAGGCACGAAAGCGUGGGAGCAAACAGGAUUAGAUACCCUGGUAGUCCACGCCCUAAACGAUGCGAACUGGACGUUGGGAGCAAUUAGGCUCUCAGUGUCGAAGCUAACGCGUUAAGUUCGCCGCCUGGGGAGUACGGUCGCAAGACUGAAACUCAAGGGAAUUGACGGGGGCCCGCACAAGCGGUGGAGUAUGUGGUUUAAUUCGAUGCAACGCGCAGAACCUUACCUGGCCUUGACAUCCACGGAAUCCUUGAGAGAUCAGGGAGUGCCUUC